GACAGGGGAUGCAAGCGUUAUCCGGAAUGAUUGGGCGUAAAGCGUCUGUAGGUGGCUCCUUAAGUCCGCUGUCAAAUCCCAGGGCUCAACCCCGGACAGGCGGUGGAAACUACUGGGCUAGAGUACGGUAGGGGCAGAGGGAAUUUCCGGUGGAGCGGUGAAAUGCGUAGAGAUCGGAAAGAACACCAAAGGCGAAGGCACUCUGCUGGGCCGACACUGACACUGAGAGACGAAAGCUAGGGGAGCGAAUGGG
rnacentral:rRNA from 1 species